CAGCCGCCACGGUAAUACAGAGGGUGCAAGCGUUAAUCGGAAUUACUGGGCGUAAAGCGCGCGUAGGUGGUUUGUUAAGUUGGAUGUGAAAUCCCCGGGCUCAACCUGGGAACUGCAUUCGGAACUGACUGACUAGAGUAUGGUAGAGGGUGGUGGAAUUUCCUGUGUAGCGGUGAAAUGCGUAGAUAUAGGAAGGAACACCAGUGGCGAAGGCGACCACCUGGACUAAUACUGACACUGAGGUGCGAAAGCGUGGGGAGCAAACAGGAUUAGAUACCCCAGUAGUCCCUGUCUCUUAUAC
rnacentral:rRNA from 1 species